CCGGGCUUUCUUAAAUCUAUGGCUUUAAUUACUCGGUAGAAACCAAUAUAUUAUCCUUUGCCUUGCUUUUCCCGCGCAAUAUUCACGCGUCUAUACGAAAUUACUAGCCACCUAAAAGAGCUCUCUUAACCGGCCUAAUUGCCGCUAAAAUUCCACGGCCUAAACUAUCAGAUCGAAUCACAAGGACUCAAGAUAAUUUUACUGUAACACCUCCUAGCCUUUGAAAAUAAACGCGGUAUUUUUCCCUUACAAACUGAUUAUUACUUAAAUCCUAAGAACUAUAACCUAUCUUAUUACUAAAUCUUUAUACUGAAUAUUAUAUUUUUUUUCUCGAAAUUUAUGAUUAUUAACUCUUUUUUUCUUUUCUUUUAGUUCCAAAAAAGGAGACAGCAAAUUUUAUGGACGUCACAUAUAUAUAUAAAUAUAUCUAUCAAGGACAACACAACGUUUACGCUUCUUUCCGGAGGAAACAGAUUUUGAACGCCAGGCAAACCCUGAAAUGAAGCUGGACUUGUUGACUGGUCCUUUUACAAUGCCGGCGUUCUGGGCGGGAUCAAUAACAGGCACAGCAAAAAGCUCAAAGUUGCAGCUGGCCAGUUUACAAUUCAAAUCUCCACACCCUCAAUGUAACUUUUUUUGGCUUUUUUCUCCUGUGGACAACUUGCCACUACCUUGCGUUACCAAAAAGAAAAGGCAAUUUCCCGCCGUUGUGCUGACCAAAACCGGACAAUUUUCGGUGCUUCCAAAAAAGCUUGAUACACCACCGGAAUAUUCCUGUUGGAGCAACACACAUCACAUAUAACAACACAUUACUCAACAAACCACUGUUACAAACUACUUACACAAUAAAAAAAUCGCAACACACAAAUUAAA